rnacentral:rRNA from 1 species
UACGUAGGGUGCGAGCGUUGUCCGGAAUUAUUGGACGUAAAGAGCUUGUAGGCGGUUUGUCGCGUCUGCCGUGAAAGCCCAGGGCUUAACCCUGGGUCUGCGGUGGGUACGGGCAGACUAGAGUGUGGUAGGGGAGACUGGAAUUCCUGGUGUAGCGGUGAAAUGCGCAGAUAUCAGGAGGAACACCGAUGGCGAAGGCAGGUCUCUGGGCCACUACUGACGCUGAGAAGCGAAAGCUAGGGGAGCAAACGGG